rnacentral:lncRNA from 1 species
AGGGAUCCACAUGUGUGGUAUUUAUAGGGCCGGGAGGCACAAGGGGAGGGUUGUCGAUGUAAUGUAAAUGGCGUCCAUUGACGGCAUGUAUGCUCCGAUUACAAUUUCAAAAAUCUUUUGGGGAGGGGGAGAAAAUAAACAAGCAAAGAAGAGGACAAACGAGGCAUGUAUCAUUGGGGUUAUUUAGUUCCUAUACGUGGUCAUUUUUUAUUUUAAGAAUAGAGGUAAUCUUCGGUUUAUGCACAAAACAUAUAUAUACAUAACUUAUUAAAUUGUUUUCUGUUCGUAUAGAAAGCUUUAUAAUACACCAAGAUCUUUAAAAUGAAUAACCCCGAGUAGAGAAAUUAUUAUACUUCACGAAAGCCUCUCUACAUCUGAUAUUUUCCCAUCAUCUCUCUUCUUUAGAUUUGAAGUGUUUUAAUCCAAUUUUUUCGUAUCAUCUCUCUUCUUUAGAUUUGAAGUAUUUUAUGGGCUUCAGCGAGAAAGCAACUUCAUUUUUACAUGUUUCUCUCACGAUCUAUUCUGAUUAGGAGUUGGGGUUAUAUAUGAGGUUUGGGCUUCAGCGAAAUUUUCUUUAUUCUUCAAACUUAGAAGAAGGGUGGGGAAGGAAGCCUAGUCUGGCGAUGAAGUUGGCUGGUGGGCAAUAGGCGAAAAUGGUGAGGCGCCGCUGGUUAGGGAGGUGAAGGAUAAUUGGUCGCUAGGGUUUGGGCGGGUGUGUCAAGUUGAUAUACCAACGAAGCUGUGGUAGUGGGAGGAGGAGGUGGACCUGGCAGCUCUACCACCAGGGACAGGAGCAGGAUGGCGGGGCAGGGGAGUCAUACAAAGGAGCAAUAAGAGGAGUGGAAAAGAGGGAAGUUGGAGAAAGAAGACCAUGCAAGAAGAUGAUGCCCUAACGGUGAGAUCAAAAUCUAACGGUCGAAAAAAAAUCCGGAUGUGUAGAGAGGAAUAAAAAUGCCUUGACACCCUUGUAUAAACUAAAAGGACACACUGCGUAAGGCCUAGCUGGUGAGAAACUAGAAGACAUCUGUCACACGUAUUUCAUGGAGCCUCUAUAAAUAUCCACUCUCACCUGCUGGUGGAAACUUUAAGGCAUCUAUCACGAGUAUUUCACGGAUUGCGUUCUCUACCUAAUAACCUCUAUAAAUGUCUGCUCUCACAUGCUACCUUCACAUUGUCCACACACCAUCACACUUUUGUUGCUAUGAAGACCCUCCUCUCCCCCUCUCCCUCUCCCCAUGCCCAUUCACACCACUCCUCGACCUUAAUCACCCCAAUUGUCCCCUCCCCGCGUGAUCUCCUUCAAUAUGGCAAAGGAGCAAGGACUAGUGGAGGCGUCAUGGUAUGGCUAAUCCAAAGAAAGGUGGUGGAGUGGUUAGUAAGAUCAGUUUACCAAGCAUUCAUGGCAUAAGAUGUGAGGCCACGAACAAGGAUUUGAACAUUGGAGGUCACAAUAUGAUGGUAUCGAUUGCAAUGAUAGUGUCCACCGGAUCUACCAGGUUUUGUUCUUACUACUCGUUAUUUUUCAUCAUCUUAAAAAUUGGGCUUUUGGGUAUUUAGAUGCUCAGUAGUGUAUGGUCAUAGAGAUUAGGCCUAUCUGGUGAGACUAGGUGGCUACUUACUGUCACACCCGGUUUUAAAACAAAACCAAGUGCUACAUAUAUGUAUGCCAGGAUCUAGUUUC